rnacentral:tRNA from 1 species
GCCUGGGUGGCUCAGUCGGUUAAGUGGCUGACUUUGGCUCAGGUCAUGAUCUCGUGGUUCGUGGGUUCAAGCCCCAUAUUGGGCU